rnacentral:lncRNA from 1 species
ACAAUCUACAGAAGAUCUUGAGAAAUACUUUGGUGUAUCUAUUCUUCACAAAAAUGCCAAUAGAGGAACUUAUCAGUUUGUGCGGGACAAAGUUAGCCAACAUACUAGUUUUUGGAAGUCUAAGAUCUUAUCGUUUGAAGGCCAUGUUAACUCUUGCUAAAUCAGUAAUCCAAACGCUCCUGACAUACGUUAUGCAAAUUGUCCUCUUAUCUAAAGCAAUUUAAGGGAAAAUUGUCGUGGUUUUAUUUGGGGUGAUCAUGAUACUAAGAAAAAGGCCAAUCUUAUUGCUUGGAAUAAAGUGUGAACUCCUAAGAAGUCUGGUGGUUUGGGUUAGUGAAUCAUGAGGACUGGAAAUCUUGCGUACAUGAUGAGUGAAAGUUAGAAGUUUUGCACUCAACGUCACCUAUUGUGGGAAGAUAUUAUGAUGAGGAAUUACAUUAUGGUAUCAACACUCUUCCCAAAGUUGAUAAAAAUUGAUGGACAGUAACUUUUGGCGUGGUACAUUCUUGGUUCAGGUAAGUUUGUUGAAAUAUUGGCAUGACAUUUGGGCAUCUUCCCCUCUUUCUCUUGUGAAUUCUGCUAUGAAACUCAUUUUUCCUUGAAUGUGUUAAAAGUGUGGUUCAAUAUGUUGAUAGUAGGAGAAGAUGGAAUCUUCAUGAUGUCGCACAUGUUCUUUUCUUUACUCUCCUCCACCUCAGUAGGGUUUUGGUGAAGAUAGUUUAGCUUGGGAGUUGGGGAACCAUGGUGUCUUUUCUUUAUCAUCUGCUUAUAAUUCCAUUUAUGGGUUCAAUGAUUAUUUGUUGCAACCUAUCUUUCGAGUUAUUUGGUGUUGGAAGGGUCCUCAUAGGAUCGUAUGUUUUCUUUGGACGCUUUGACAUGAGUCCUUGUUGACAAAUGGAAAUCAGUUUCGAAGGAAGAGGGUAGAUUAUGAGGCGCGUCCUUUGUGUAAUGCUUCUAUUCAGAACCACUUCCUUCUUUAUCAGAUAUUUUUUAAAUGCCUUUCCCCUAAUUUUAUGUUUGUUUUCUUAGUUGAUUUGAAUUGGAAAUAUGGGUUACUUAGGAAUCUUGUUGAUGUCUCUAUUACUCAUGCUAUCCUUGGCGUCUGAUUUUUGGAGUGCUGCUGGAUAACAUUUGGAAAGGGAGGAAUGAAAAUGUUUUUCAGG